rnacentral:rRNA from 1 species
GACGAACGCUGGCGGCGUGCUUAACACAUGCAAGUCGAACGGAAAGGCCCUGCUUUUGUGGGGUGCUCGAGUGGCGAACGGGUGAGUAACACGUGAGUAACCUGCCCUUGACUUUGGGAUAACUUCAGGAAACUGGGGCUAAUACCGGAUAGGAGCUCCUGCUGCAUGGUGGGGGUUGGAAAGUUUCGGCGGUUGGGGAUGGACUCGCGGCUUAUCAGCUUGUUGGUGGGGUAGUGGCUUACCAAGGCUUUGACGGGUAGCCGGCCUGAGAGGGUGACCGGCCACAUUGGGACUGAGAUACGGCCCAGACUCCUACGGGAGGCAGCAGUGGGGAAUAUUGCACAAUGGGCGGAAGCCUGAUGCAGCAACGCCGCGUGCGGGAUGACGGCCUUCGGGUUGUAAACCGCUUUCGCCGGUGACGAAGCGUGAGUGACGGUAAUGGGUAAAGAAGCACCGGCUAACUACGUGCCAGCAGCCGCGGUGAUACGUAGGGUGCGAGCGUUGUCCGGAUUUAUUGGGCGUAAAGGGCUCGUAGGUGGUUGAUCGCGUCGGAAGUGUAAUCUUGGGGCUUAACCCUGAGCGUGCUUUCGAUACGGGUUGACUUGAGGAAGGUAGGGGAGAAUGGAAUUCCUGGUGGAGCGGUGGAAUGCGCAGAUAUCAGGAGGAACACCAGUGGCGAAGGCGGUUCUCUGGGCCUUUCCUGACGCUGAGGAGCGAAAGCGUGGGGAGCGAACAGGCUUAGAUACCCUGGUAGUCCACGCUGUAAACGGUGGGUACUAGGUGUGGGGUCCAUUCCACGGGUUCCGUGCCGUAGCUAACGCUUUAAGUACCCCGCCUGGGGAGUACGGCCGCAAGGCUAAAACUCAAAGGAAUUGACGGGGCCCCGCACAAGCGGCGGAGCAUGCGGAUUAAUUCGAUGCAACGCGUAGAACCUUACCUGGGUUUGACAUGGAUCGGGAGUGCUCAGAGAUGGGUGUGCCUCUUUUGGGGUCGGUUCACAGGUGGUGCAUGGCUGUCGUCAGCUCGUGUCGUGAGAUGUUGGGUUAAGUCCCGCAACGAGCGCAACCCUUGUUCACUGUUGCCAGCACGUUAUGGUGGGGACUCAGUGGAGACCGCCGGGGUCAACUCGGAGGAAGGUGGGGAUGACGUCAAGUCAUCAUGCCCCUUAUGUCCAGGGCUUCACGCAUGCUACAAUGGCUGGUACAGAGAGUGGCGAGCCUGUGAGGGUGAGCGAAUCUCGGAAAGCCGGUCUCAGUUCGGAUUGGGGUCUGCAACUCGACCUCAUGAAGUCGGAGUCGCUAGUAAUCGCAGAUCAGCAACGCUGCGGUGAAUACGUUCCCGGGGCU